rnacentral:tRNA from 1 species
GCCCUAGUAGCUUAAUACUUAAAGCACCGGUCUUGUAAUCCGGAGACUGAAGGUUAAAAUCCUUCCUAGUGCC